GGUGAGGCCCACUCCGCCCUCGGGGUUUACCCUGGGGUGGGGCGGGUCGAACCUCCUCCCCGCGAGGGUGGAGAAGUCGUAACAAGGUAGCCGUACCGGAAGGUGCGGCUGGAUCACCUCCUUAA
rnacentral:rRNA from 1 species